rnacentral:lncRNA from 1 species
CUGUGGACAAUCUCUCCUAGGUAUUGCUUUGACUCGAGAAAGUUCUCCUUUUUCCUUUAUUUAGUGUGUUCAUUUCUUCUACAAUGGCUUGUUGUGCUUGCUCUUUGAGUCAUUGGCCUUAUCUCGUUCUACUUCUUUCGCUUUUCCUAAACGUGCUUCCUUUUUCACCAUAGGACCAUUGUAAUGCCAAUCUAGUUCAAAUUGCAUUCGAUGGAUAAUUGGAUGAAUUUAGAGAUAAAAGUGGUUGAAAGUCUAAAUGAGGAGGUUCUGUUGAACUAAGGAGUUGGUCUUUUACACAGAAAUAAAGAGUGAAUGAUGGUGAUGCGAGUGGAAAUCUAGAGAUGACUUGGUUGCGAGUAAAGAAUUCCAAGCUGGUAUUAGUAGAAUGAAGGGAUUUUAUUUAUAGGCACAUAGAUUCCUUUUAACUUCUCGACCAGGUUGUUGCCUUUGCAAGAUUUUUUCCAUAACCUAGCUGGUCAGUCAUCUACCCUAACCGUAAGUGUACCAUACUCUUGUAUUGCCUUCUUGUUGCCCUUCUUCGUACGCCAGUUAAAGUGUCCAUGAAAAUAACUAACAUGAAUUGGAGGGGAUGCCAUGUAUGCUAGAUAGACUAGCUCUGUCAGAUGCAGAAAUGCUUGAUUACCACUUGGAGUUGGUAGGUUUAGCCACUGCAGAAUAUUAUCUAAAUGUCAUUAGGCAUCUGAAAAGAUCUUAGAUUCCUGAUUAUGACUCUCACAGUGUAAUUUUACUGCUGCCUCCUCUUCCUUUACUAAUUGAGCAUUCUUUAACUAACUGAGCAUGCCCCGCAAGGAGAGAUUUAUUGGAUACUGAAAUAUAGACUAUAGGCAGAAAGUUUCUUACAUUUUGUAUUGCUUGAAGUUUUAUUUAUCUUCUUGUCAUUACUAGGGGGCAUUUCGUCACGUCAGUUUGAUUAAUCAAGUUUGAUGGUGGGAGUUCUAACUUUUGAAUAGGAUAUAUCUCGAGCUAUGCUGCGUACUUGUAUGACAAUCUGGUCAAGACAGAUGGAGUAGAAAUUGGAGAAAGCAAAAAGACUAGGAGGGUCAGGGGAGCUACAUCCAAGUAUGUUGGGUUCCUAUAUGACUUAAUAUUUUCGUAAUUCAAAGUUGUAAGAACUUAGAAUUAGAUGCCUAGCCUUGGUAGUCGUUGAUGUCUAUUCUCACCGAAAAAAUUUAGAGAGGAGAUUUUUUCUCUGGAAACAUCUUAAUGCUUCGGUCAUCAUAUUGUCUUCUGGAUAUGGAGAAUGUUUUGAGUGCACUAUAGUACUAGAGCCAAUCCUUGAAUGGUUUCUCUUAAGAUCCUAAGUUGUAAAUACUAUUACACUUGUAAUCCUCACCUGAAGUAAUUUUCCGUGCAUCCACUUCGCCUUGAGGUUCCAUAAUUGAACAAAAAGGUUUGUUUUUUGAUGAUAUUGGAUUGGAGGCUGCCAACAAGAUAUAGACUCCCUUGCUUUAGAUGACCUACUAGCUCAAAAAAGCCCAUAUCGAGUGACUAAUAUCCCUCAGUUAUUUUGUACAGUUAUUACAUUUUCCCUCACUUCAUAAAUUUUGAUUAACAUUUUGUUGGUUAAUGUCUAUCCUCUAUCUUUCCUCUUCUUCUAUUAAUUUUACUGGGACAAAAUAUUCUCUCUCUCUCUCUCUCUCUCUCUCUCUCUCUCUCUCUCUCUCUCUCUCUCUCUCUCUCUCUCUCGUUUACAAUGAAUUCACUUUCUUUGCACAUUUCAAUGUGUGUCGUCAAUACUAGCUUCUCUUAAUCAUUCUAGUCUGCUCCAGGUAAAUGUGUAACAUCAUUAUGCCGGUGUCCUGAUGGCAAGGUUGUUGUCUUGGGACUUGAAGACGAUACAGUUUUACUGCAUGAUGUCGAAGUAAGUUUUCUAUGUUGUUACUUGAACUACGUUUUCUAUGUUGUUACUUGAACGUUACCCUCAUUACUUCUCAACUAGAUAUUCCUCCUGAAACGUUCCUUUAUCAUCAAAACGUGUUUUUCUCUAGUCUCUCUUGGGAAAUUCUGAAUUGCUCAAAAUCUGCAUGAUGCAAUGCAAACAACAAACUUGCUAACUGAACAUUCAGCUGCUAAUAGAGGUGGCACUCCAUUUUUAUUGGUCAUGUCCCUCAAUGUCAAGUUAACAAUGGAUUGGUAGAUAGGUCAAUCUGAGCAGGAUAAGAUUAACAAAAAAUUUUAUUAGAAAAUUCUAUUUGAACAUGACCCAUUUGUUAAAUAGGCAAGAGAUGUAUAACCUGUUUAACUAAUUUGAUUGAAUUGAAUGGGUCAUUCCCAUCCUAACAUGACCAACGUGACAUAUGUACCAUAUGCAUAUCUUCAUCAAUGUCAAAUAAGUUUGAAAAGGGACUAGCCAUAAGCUUACAAACUACAUGAAAUGUUUUAUUUAUAUGGUGUGAUCAAAUCAUAAUAUGUAACAACUAAGGAAACCAAAUUUAUGUAUGAUUUUUUAUUAGAGAACUUACUAAACUAAAUAUAAACAGGUCAUGAUAGGUCAGGUUGUUGAUCAAGUUGGCUCUAUCAUUUAGUUAUAUAGAUUACAUGAGUCAAUCUGUCUUUGCGGUUUGAACUUUGAACAUGGAACAAUAUUCGUUUAUUAAUUAACUGUUAAGUAGGUAGCCUCACCUAAGUGGUCACAUGGAAAUGUGAGUCAUGAAUAAAAAAAUUAAAUCUUUCGAUUGUGGAUCGUGAUUUUCAUCCAAUGGAAUCAUAAAAUCUGAUAUAAUGUUUGAGAUUGGUAUUCCAUGACAUAUGUAAAUUAAUUAUUAGAUAAUAACUAAUCACAAAGAUACUUCAAAUUCAACUAAUUUUAUUAUCUCCAGACAUGAAAUAUUGCUACAAAUUAUUUUUCUUUUGCCCAAUGAGUACCCAUUUGACUGCAAGGACGCAAAGAUCUUAUACAUGGUAUUGUAAUUGGAAUCCCAUUCAUAGAAUUGAGUAUGAGACAAUCAAAACAUCCACUAAGCCUGAUGCAGCCAACAAAAUCAUGCAGGAUGACUACCAAGUUUUUGGUGAAGAUUGACUUUAAAACUCAAACAAGGGUCAGGAUUCUUCUUGAAGUUUAAUCACUAAAAUUAUCAACUAGGAUUUGAGUAUUAUUAGGAUUUUACAAAAUUUCCUUUUCUUUCUUUUUUUAAGCUUGCAUAGUAGGAUCUUGCGUAUACUCCAAUAAUGUUUCUUGUUAUUGAACUUGGCAAGUGUUUGCUUUGCAGAUUGUGUGAUGCAAUUCAUCUUUGGCAUGAUGCUUAAGAAACCCUGGGUGUGUUGCUUGGGCAAUUUUGCAUGUGAUGCUUAAAUAUUUAUUCUUUAUUGUGGGACUCAGUCCUAUAUCAAAGCCGUGAAAUGUUUUUGACAUUACAUUGUUGAUACAUGCGUUAAAUUAUGAAUCAAGGAAAUUGAUUGACUCAUAUCUAAUCAGUGAAAUCAGCAGUGAGUUACUUUAAUCACAUAUCAUACAGAAUUAAUAUGCUCAUUUAAUAGAUUUAUAUACUUUAGGAGUUGAAUCUUAUUGAUGUGUUCAAUUGCAUUCUCGUGUAGGACAAGAUUUUUACUUCGCUGCUAAUGUUGUCAUAGAUGGUUGAGACUAUUUCAAUUGUCAACGACAAAUUACAGGAUAGUGUGUGCUGGGGUCCAGCUUGUGGUGAGAAUCUACAUCUAUGGUCUAGGUGGAAGGUGCUGUACUGAAGCAUUCAUUCAUGACAUGCUCAUUUUCAUGAAAGUUAAUAACUUCUUUCAAUUGUUAUAAAUUUGUUCAGUUCAGUCAAAUUAGGAAGGUAAUAAUUUAGGUG